rnacentral:rRNA from 1 species
AUGCCCUCUUGCUCUUCCAUGUUCAUAUCAUCUUGGAUUGCUGCCUGUUCUGAAGUUGGUGCAAUGGAGCUUGGAGCUCCACCUGCUAGACCUGGAGCCUGUUCAGGACCUGAAGUCAGCGGCGAUCUGCAGUACCUGGAGGUGGAGCUAGCGAGGCCCUGGGAGGGUGGCGGCAAUCUGCAGCAGGGCGCCGGCCUUGGGAUGACGAGGUGGGGGAUCUGCUGGCCCAGGAAGAUGGGGAGGAUGGAAGGGGAUCUGUUGGGCGAGAUGGGAGGCGAUGGAGGUGGAGGUGGAGGAUCUGGAGGUGGGGGGCAACGGAGGCGGGGGCGAUGGAGGUGGAGGAUCCAGAGGUGGGGGGCGACGGAGGCGGGCGGAUCUGGAAGACGACUUGGGUGGAGACGAGGAGAGAAUUCAAAACUGGAGGGUAACCUGGUCAUUUCGCUGCUUUUUCACCUGGUCGGAAAAAAACCCCAGCGUCAUGUAUUUCGGAACGGAGGGAGUAGUAAUCACACUAAGAAAAUCCACUACGAAUUACAGAGUAAAUACAAUGAUGAGAUAGAGUAA